UCGCCGCCCACCCUCCCUGCGGAUCCCAGCGCCCGCUCGGAGCCCGUCCUGCACCCUCUAUCCCGAAGACACAAACCCUACACACCUAGCCUAGCGCCCGGAUCACCCUCCACCCUUGUAGACCACCUCGCGGCUUCAUAGGAGGCGCCGUGCCGCCCCUCCCCCACCGCUCUCCCCCAGCUCUUGGGCCCCCACCAGAACGUGUGCGCUACACGCCGCCGCGGCCAGCCGCCGGGACGCCCCCAGCUGCCCGCGGAGAGUCGCCAUCUUAGAUCGAUCUGAUCGCACAACCGCUCCUGAAGGGGGGGUGAGAGGAAAAAAAUGAGAUUCAAACCGGAUUGGCCGGCUACUGUUCACGUGACGGACGUGUCCGUUUGGCCUUGGCGGCGCCUGCGCAAGACUGCGGCUGCGUGGAGAGAGGCGGCGAUGGCGAGUCGUUGUUUAAAGCAAUCCACCUUCCCUCGUCCCCGGCUCUGCUAACGCUGGCGGUCACUCAUUGCCAUCACUGCGAAAAGGGGUGGCAGAACGGCCCACGGUACCCACUUGUUACAGGUUGGGGGAGGGGGAGUGCACUUGACAACCUUUCCUGUCCCAAAUCCUGAGAUUAAGACUUCAGGGCUAAAUCUUGAGUAGAAGUAAAAAUUAUUUGAAAGUUA